rnacentral:rRNA from 1 species
UACCAGCUCUCCGAGUGGUGUGGAUGUUUAUUGGGCCUAAAGCAUCCGUAGCUGGCUGGGCAAGUCCCCUGUUAAAUCCACCGAUUUAAUCAUUGGUGUGCGGGGGAUACUGUUCGGCUAGGGGACGGGAGAGGCCGACGGUAUUUUCGGGGUAGGGGUGAAAUCCUAUAAUCCCGGGAAGACCACCAGUGGCGAAGGCUGUCGGCUAGAACGCGCCCGACGGUGAGGGAUGAAAGCUGGGGGAGCGAACCGGAUUAGAUACCCGGGUAGUCCCAGCUGUAAACGAUGCAGGCUAGGUGUUUGGGCGGCCAAGUGCCGCUCUAGUGCCGCAGAGAAGUCGUUAAGCCUGCCGCCUGGGGAGUACGGCCGCAAGGCUGAAACUUAAAGGAAUUGGCGGGGGAGCACCACAAGGGGUGAAGCUUGCGGUUU